UUGAGUAUAUAGUUCACAUAUCAUAACCCAC
rnacentral:piRNA from 1 species